UCCCUAGUGGUCCAGUGGUUAAAACUCUGUGCUUCCAAUGCAGGGUGUGUGGGUUUGAUCCCUACACAGGGAA
rnacentral:tRNA from 1 species